rnacentral:misc_RNA from 1 species
GCUCCGUAGGUGAACCUGCGGAGGGAUCAUUACAGAGUUCAUGCCCUACCGGGUAGAUCUCCCACCCUAUGUUAUUAUUACUUUGUUGCUUUGGCGGGCCGUUAGGCUCCGGCCCGACUACCGGCCCCGGCUGGUAAGCGCCCGCCAGAGGACCCAAAACCCUGAAUAUUAGUGUCGUCUGAGUACUAUAUAAUAGUCAAAACUUUCAACAACGGAUCUCUUGGUUCUG